rnacentral:rRNA from 1 species
UGACCGCUGGCGGCGUGCUUAACACAUGCAAGUCGAACGAAACACCUUAUUUGAUUUUCUUCGGAACUGAAGAUUUGGUGAUUGAGUGGCGGACGGGUGAGUAACGCGUGGGUAACCUGCCCUGUACAGGGGGAUAACAGUCAGAAAUGACUGCUAAUACCGCAUAAGACCACAGCACCGCAUGGUGCAGGGGUAAAAACUCCGGUGGUACAGGAUGGACCCGCGUCUGAUUAGCUGGUUGGUGAGGUAACGGCUCACCAAGGCGACGAUCAGUAGCCGGCUUGAGAGAGUGAACGGCCACAUUGGGACUGAGACACGGCCCAAACUCCUACGGGAGGCAGCAGUGGGGAAUAUUGCACAAUGGGGGAAACCCUGAUGCAGCGACGCCGCGUGAGUGAAGAAGUAUUUCGGUAUGUAAAGCUCUAUCAGCAGGGAAGAAAAUGACGGUACCUGACUAAGAAGCCCCGGCUAACUACGUG